rnacentral:piRNA from 4 species
UCAGAAGAUUCCAGGUUCGACUCCUGGC